UACGUAGGGUGCAAGCGUUGUCCGGAAUUAUUGGGCGUAAAGAGCUCGUAGGCGGUCUGUCGCGUCGGAUGUGAAAACCCAGGGCUCAACCCUGGGCCUGCAUUCGAUACGGGUAGACUAGAGUUCGGUAGGGGAGACUGGAAUUCCUGGUGUAGCGGUGAAAUGCGCAGAUAUCAGGAGGAACACCGGUGGCGAAGGCGGGGUCUCUGGGCCGAAACUGACGCUGAGGAGCGAAAGCGUGGGGAGCAAACAGG
rnacentral:rRNA from 1 species